GACAGUGGAACUUCCAUGUGUAGCGGGUGAUAUGCGUAGAUAUAUGGAAGAACACCAGUGGCGAAGGGCGGCUGUCUGGUCUGUAACUGACGCUGAGGGCUCGAAAAGCAUGGGUAGCGAACAGGAUUAGAUACCCUGGUAGUCCAUGCCGUAAACGAUGAAUGCUAGGUGUUGGAGGGUUUUCCGCCCUUCAGUGCCGCAAAAAACGCAUUAAGCAUUCCGCCUGGGGAGUACGACCGCAAGGUUGAAACUCAAAGAAAAUGACGGGGGCCCGCACAAGCGGUGGAGCAUGUGGUUUAAUUCGAAGCAACGCGAAGAACCUUACCAGGUCUUGACAUCUUUUGAUCACCUGAGAGAUCAGGUUUCCCCUUCGGGGGCAAAAUGACAGGUGGUGCAUGGUUGUCGUCAGCUCGUGUCGUGAGAUGUUGGGUUAAGUCCCGCAACGAGCGCAACCCUUAUGACUAGUUGCCAGCAUUUAGUUGGGCACUCUAGUAAGACUGCCGGUGAAAAACCGGAGGAAGGUGGGGAUGACGUCAAAUCAUCAUGCCCCUUAUGACCUGGGCUACACACGUGCUACAAUGGAUGGUACAACGAGUUGCGAGACCGCGAGGUCAAGCUAAUCUCUUAAAGCCAUUCUCAGUUCGGACUGUAGGCUGCAACUCGCCUACACGAAGUCGAAUCGCUAGAU
rnacentral:rRNA from 2 species